UGCCAGUGUUCAGUACUUCUGGCGCAUCAAGAUUAGUCGCUCCUCCACAAACUCCUCCAGCAGCAUCUCUCUCUGGUCCCGCAGUGCUUGUGAUUGUUCUGGGAGUUGUGCUCUUACUGCCCUUAGUGCCACUGCUUAUACUGAUUCAACGAAAGAGAGUGAUGAGGAGAGCUCUCUCUGACUGGUACACAGGACUACACAGGACACAGACUGAGGCUGUUUAUCACGAGAUUCAUCACAGACAGCAUCACUUCACUCAGAGGGAGGGAGAUCAGUAGGAGGAUGAUGAUGUGAAGAACAGAAAUGAAGAUGAGAGAAACCUAGACUAUGAUGAUGUGGGGGAGGAGUCAAACAAAGAAGGAAGGGCCAUAUGACCCAAUGACCACACCCACUAUUUCUGUUCAUGAAAUCAUAUUACAGUUACCGGAGCUACUGGGACUUUCUUAUAUUGCUACUAAUGCAUCAAUGUGUUUUUAUGUUAUUUCAUUUUUUUAUGCUUUGCAAAAUUUGGUAACAAUGAAUGUUAGUAUUUGUGCAUUUCAGUAUUUAGCUUAUUAUUUUUUUGUACUGAUAUUAAUGCUUUUUACCUAAUGAACAAAUAAGCAAAUUAUAUUAUUCAUUCAGUCUAUAUACCGCAUUUUUAAAGAGCAGUUAAAGCAAAACUAGACUGCAGAGAUUUAUUGCACACUUCAUGUAAAAUGUGAUUUAAAAAACAUUUCACACACACAUUUAUACACCUGUCCCAACUGCAGAGUUUUACUGUGUGAUGGUGUACU